rnacentral:rRNA from 1 species
AAACCAACASGGAUUGCCUUAGUARCGGCGAGUUGAAGCGGCAAGAGCUCAAAUUUGAAAUCUGGUACCUUCGGUGCCCGAGUUGUAAUUUGAAGAAAGCUAUCUUGGAUUUGGCCUUUGUCUAUGUUCCUUGGAACAGGACGUCACAGAGGGUGAGAAUCCCGUGCGAUGAGGUGUCCAUUUCUAUGUAAGAUGUUUUCGAAGAGUCGAGUUGUUUGGGAAUGCAGCUCUAAGUGGGUGGUAAAUUCCAUCUAAAGCUAAAUAUUGGCGAGAGACCGAUAGCGAACAAGUACAGUGAUGGAAAGAUGAAAAGAACUUUGAAAAGAGAGUGAAAAAGUACGUGAAAUUGUUGAAAGGGAAGGGUAUUAGAUCAGACUUGGUAUUUAGUUAUCAUUACUCCUUGUGGGUGGUGCUCUAGCUUUUUACUGGGCCAGCAUCAGUUUUGGUGACAGGAUAAUAGCAAUUGAAUGUGGCUCUUCGGAGUGUUAUAGCUUUUGUUGAUACUGUCUACUGGGACUGAGGUCUGCGGCUUUGCCUAGGAUGCUGGCGUAAUGAUCCAAUACCGC